CGACGAGUUCUCGUUGAUGAUCGGUGCUUGCACUGAGAUUCAACAUGGAACGAGUGGCGGACGGGUGAGUAACACGCGGGUAACCUGCCCUUAAGUGGGGGAUAACAUUUGGAAACAGAUGCUAAUACCGCAUAGAUCCAAGAACCGCAUGGUUCUUGGCUGAAAGAUGGCGUAAGCUAUCGCUUUUGGAUGGACCCGCGGCGUAUUAGCUAGUUGGUGAGGUAAUGGCUCACCAAGGCGAUGAUACGUAGCCGAACUGAGAGGUUGAUCGGCCACAUUGGGACUGAGACACGGCCCAAACUCCUACGGGAGGCAGCAGUAGGGAAUCUUCCACAAUGGACGCAAGUCUGAUGGAGCAACGCCGCGUGAGUGAAGAAGGCUUUCGGGUCGUAAAACUCUGUUGUUGGAGAAGAAUGGUCGGCAGAGUAACUGUUGUCGGCGUGACGGUAUCCAACCAGAAAGCCACGGCUAACUACGUGCCAGCAGCCGCGGUAAUACGUAGGUGGCAAGCGUUAUCCGGAUUUAUUGGGCGUAAAGCGAGCGCAGGCGGUUUUUUAAGUCUGAUGUGAAAGCCCUCGGCUUAACCGAGGAAGCGCAUCGGAAACUGGGAAACUUGAGUGCAGAAGAGGACAGUGGAACUCCAUGUGUAGCGGUGAAAUGCGUAGAUAUAUGGAAGAACACCAGUGGCGAAGGCGGCUGUCUGGUCUGUAACUGACGCUGAGGCUCGAAAGCAUGGGUAGCGAACAGGAUUAGAUACCCUGGUAGUCCAUGCCGUAAACGAUGAAUGCUAGGUGUUGGAGGGUUUCCGCCCUUCAGUGCCGCAGCUAACGCAUUAAGCAUUCCGCCUGGGGAGUACGAC
rnacentral:rRNA from 1 species